rnacentral:misc_RNA from 1 species
GAUGAAGAACGUAGUGAAAUGCGAUAAGUAAUGCGAAUUGCAGAAUUUCCGUGAGUCAUCGAAUCUUUGAACGCACAUUGCGCCCGCCAGUAUUCUGGCGGGCAUGCCUGUCUGAGCGUCAUUUCAACCCUCAGCCCCCGCUCGCGGGGCGCUGGCGUUGGGGAUCGGCCGUCCUCGCGGCGGCCGGCCCCGAAACACAGUGGCGGUCUCUCGCGGACUCCCCUGCGUAGUAGCACUACCUCGCAGAAGGGACGAGCGGGCUGACCACGCCGUAAAACCCCCCACUUCUCCAGGUUGACCUCAGAUCAGGUAGGAAUACCCGCUGAACUUAAGCAUAUCAAUAAGCGGAGGA